rnacentral:lncRNA from 1 species
CACAACAUUUUUUAAGUGGUUUCCUUUUUUUGCGAAAUAACAUUUUAAGUGGUUUCCUUUUUUUUGCAAAAUAACAUUUUAAGUGGUUUCUUUCUUUUUUGUGAAAUAAUAUUUUUUAACAGAGUACAAUCGAAGUCGUUCACAUACACGAGCGUACAUUCACCCCUAUAAACGCACGUACAAUCUACCCCUAUGAGCAACUUCGAGAGACUAAGCCGGCACAAACACCAACGUCAAGUUUGAGACUUGAACUCUGAUGGACGAGGGAUACAACAGUCCUCCUAACCAUCCAACCAUAGAUUGAUUUGCGCGAAAUAACAUUUUAAGUGGUUUCACGAAGCGAAUACUCCCAAGUUUAGACACAAUUAACUACAGCUGGGAAGGGAAAAAACAAAGAACUCCUUUAGAAGAAAAAAACAAAUGCAAGUGUAGAGCUAGCAUGCAAAUUCAGGCUCUAUUUUCUUUCUUUCUUUUGGGGAGCUCUACCUUUCUUUUGUCCCAUCUACUGUCUGUUUGCUACAUUAAUUUUCCCCAAUCAAGCAAGGGACUAGUGCUGGAUGUUAGUGGAGUACCAUGUAAACAUUCACACAUAAUGUACUCAUCAUUAUUCUCUACUCCACUCCACUAAUCAACAAAUUAAGUGUACGCCACUCAUAUAUGGUACCUACGUGUCCACCUUGGGAAUAUCGAGGCACCUGUGCGCCGUUGAGAGCUUCUUGUGGCAGAGGAGAAGGUGAUGUCUAUCUGAAAGGAAAGGGCGGCGCCGCAGUGGAAAGGAUGGAUGGAGUGAGACAAAACUUCUUAGGCCAGAAGGACAGGCUGACACGCAGUACGAGAAGGCAGGAUCGUACUGACCCCCAUGCAGAUAGACAAAACUUCCUAGGUCAGAUGUUUUCUUUUUCUGCUUCUUGUUGGUGUAAACCAACCUUCAUGGAUAAAACCAAUGAUCCCAGAUUGAUCAUACCAGAAGAAAAAGGAAAGGAAAGGAAAAGAUAAGGAGUAUAUAAUGGACGAAAAUUAACUAUUAUUUUCCUAAAAAGUUAAUGAUCUCCAGCGGACCAACCUGGAGUUGGAUGAAGAGGAGGGGGCGGUGCCGGAGGAGGAGACCGGCAAAAAAGCAAAGAGCAAGCAGGAGUAGCACUAAAGGGGAGGAAUAAACUAGUAUAGAUCCCCUUGAUGAAUAAAAAUGAUGCCCUAAAGCAAUCAAAAAAGAUAAAGUUAAUGAAAAAACGAUGAAAAUAUUUGAUCCCUCUUUCUAAGAAGUGAAUAGCCCCCCACCCCCACCCCCACCCCCUUCAAUUGGGAGUCCAGGGGUGAUGGGGGAGGAGAAGGCGGAAGGGUAAAACAUAAGCAUGAGCACGAAUAAAAUGGAGGGCCGAAGUAGGGGAAGGAAGCUUACCGUUGAAUUCAACACCCUUGAAAUCUCAUCGACGAAGGGAUGAUAAUUGUUGUCCUGCCUCAGUGCCUUCCUGCUUACGGUGGCGGUGGAUGACGGGCCAUGGGGUAGCGGCGAUUGGAGACCCAACAAUUAAGCGAGAAGAGGAGGAAUCACCGAUAAAAGGAUGCUGCCAUGGCG